rnacentral:rRNA from 1 species
ACUCCUACGGGAGGCAGCAGUGGGGAAUAUUGCACAAUGGGCGCAAGCCUGAUGCAGCCAUGCCGCGUGUAUGAAGAAGGCCUUCGGGUUGUAAAGUACUUUCAGCGGGGAGGAAGGCGAUAAGGUUAAUAACCUUGUCGAUUGACGUUACCCGCAGAAGAAGCACCGGCUAACUCCGUGCCAGCAGCCGCGGUAAUACGGAGGGUGCAAGCGUUAAUCGGAAUUACUGGGCGUAAAGCGCACGCAGGCGGUCUGUCAAGUCGGAUGUGAAAUCCCCGGGCUCAACCUGGGAACUGCAUUCGAAACUGGCAGGCUAGAGUCUUGUAGAGGGGGGUAGAAUUCCAGGUGUAGCGGUGAAAUGCGUAGAGAUCUGGAGGAAUACCGGUGGCGAAGGCGGCCCCCUGGACAAAGACUGACGCUCAGGUGCGAAAGCGUGGGGAGCAAACAGGAUUAGAAACCCGAGUAGUCCCAUGA